CAGCCGCCGCGGGAAUACGGAGGGUGCAAGCGUUAAUCGGAAUUACUGGGCGUAAAGCGCACGCAGGCGGUCUGUCAAGUCGGAUGUGAAAUCCCCGGGCUCAACCUGGGAACUGCAUUCGAAACUGGCAGGCUAGAGUCUUGUAGAGGGGGGUAGAAUUCCAGGUGUAGCGGUGAAAUGCGUAGAGAUCUGGAGGAAUACCGAUGGCGAAGGCAGCCAUCUGGCCUAAUACUGACGCUGAGGUACGAAAGCAUGGGGAGCAAACAGGAUUAGAUACCCCAGUAGUCCCUGUCUCUUAUAC
rnacentral:rRNA from 1 species